GACAGAGGGUGCGAACGUUGCUCGGAAUUACUGGGCGUAAAGCGCGUGUAGGCGGGUCGGCAAGUCGGUUGUGAAAUCCCUGAGCUCAACUCAGGAACUGCAUCCGAAACUGCCGGUCUUGAGUGCUGGAGAGGGAAGCGGAAUUCCUGGUGUAGAGGUGAAAUUCGUAGAUAUCAGGAGGAACACCGGUGGCGAAGGCGGCUUCCUGGACAGUAACUGACGCUGAGACGCGAAAGCGUGGGGAGCAAACAGG
rnacentral:misc_RNA from 1 species